AAACGAUGCCGAUGUCGUGGUGCCGAAUAAUGGCGACGCGAAAGAGAAAUCGAGUAGGGCCCUGGGGAGAGUACACGCGCAAGCGAGAAAUUUAAAGGAAAUUGACGGAAGAACACCACAAGGAGUGGAGUGUGCGGCUUAAUUUGACUCAACGCGGGACAACUUACCAGGCCCGACGACCGUAUGAGUGUAACGCACGAUAGGUCGAAGAGUGGUGCAUGGCCGUUAACGACGAGUGGAGUGAUCUUUGGGUUAAGUCCGUAAAUUAGUGAGACCUCAGCCGUAAGGGACAGGUGCGCAAAGCACAGGAAGGAUGGGUCAAGGACAGGUCAGUGAUGCCCUUAGAUGGUCCGGGCUGCACGCGCACUACAGUGGUCGCCGAAAUUACCUGAUAAUUUUAAAGGCGAUCGAGAGGAAAUGAGCUUUGUAAGAGGCUCAGGAACGAGGAAUUGCUAGUAAUCGCGGACUCAUUAAGACGCGAUGAAUACGUCCCUGUUCUUUGUACACACCGCCCGUCGUUAUCGAAGAUGAAGAUAGGCGCGAACGAUCUACCAGAAAGUGAGCGCAGGUCUUUAGAUCUGAUACAAGUCGUAACAAGGUAGCUGUAGGAGAACCUGUAGCUGG
rnacentral:rRNA from 1 species